rnacentral:rRNA from 1 species
UACGAGGGGGGCGAGCGUUGUUCGGAAUUAUUGGGCGUAAAGGGCGCGUAGGCGGUCGGAUAAGUCUUGUGUGAAAUCUUCGGGCUCAACUCGAAGUCUGCACAGGAAACUAUCUGGCUUGAGUGUGGGAGAGGUGAGUGGAAUUCCUGGUGUAGCGGUGAAAUGCGCAGAUAUCGGGAGGAACACCGGUGGCGAAGGCGGUUCUCUGGGCCUUACCUGACGCUGAGGAGCGAAAGCGUGGGGAGCGAACAGG